rnacentral:rRNA from 1 species
GAUCAUGGCUCAGGAUGAACGCUGGCGGCGUGCCUAACACAUGCAAGUCGAACGGAGUUGAUCGGAAGCUUGCUUUGAUCAACUUAGUGGCGGACGGGUGAGUAACGCGUGGGUAACCUGCCUCAUACAGGGGGAUAACAGUUGGAAACGACUGCUAACACCGCAUAAGAUCGUAGUACCGCAUGAUACAGCGAUCAAAUAUUUAUAGGUAUGAGAUGGGCCCGCGUCUGAUUAGCUAGUUGGCGGGGCAAUGGCCCACCAAGGCGACGAUCAGUAGCCGGCUUGAGAGAGUGACCGGCCACAUUGGGACUGAGACACGGCCCAAACUCCUACGGGAGGCAGCAGUGGGGAAUAUUGGGCAAUGGGUGCAAGCCUGACCCAGCGAACCGCCGCGUGAGUGAAGAAGUAUUUCGGUAUGUAAAGCUCUAUCAGCAGGGAAGAUAAUGACGGUACCUGACUAAGAAGCCCCGGCUAACUACGUGCCAGCAGCAGC